GCGGCCGUGGCACAACCCGGUACUGCGCCGGUCUUGAAAACCGGUUUCCGCACGGCCGCGUAUAACUUUAAACCCGGAUUUGAAAAUCUGCGCAUCUGUUGAUGCUUGACUUGCUCAAGCUUCGCUUUUCGCAAGUCCGGGCGGCCGCG
rnacentral:tRNA from 1 species